rnacentral:rRNA from 1 species
AUUGAACGCUGGCGGCAUGCUUUACACAUGCAAGUCGAACGGCAGCGCGGUCUUCUGCCUUGCUGCGAGUUGCGAAGGGGGGAGUAAUGGAGCGGGACGUGCGCAGGUGUGGUGGAUAGCCCGGCGAAAGCCGGAUUAAUACCGCAUACUACCAGAGCGUGAAAGCGGGUGACCGAAAGGCCUCGCGCUAUAGGAGCGGUUGAUGUCGUAUUAGCUAGUUGGUGGGGUAAAGGCUUACCAAGGCGACGAUCCGUAGCUGGUCUGAGAGGACGACGAGCCACACUGGGACUGAGCCACGGCCCAGACUCCUACGGGAGGCAGCAGUGGGGAAUUUUGGACAAUGGGGGCAACCCUGAUCCAGCCAUGCCGCGUGGUGGAAGAAGGCCUUCGGGUUGUAAACCGCUUUUGUUCGGGAAGAAAUCCUCUGGGCUAAUACGCCGGGGGGAUGACGGUACCGGACGAAUAAGCACCGGCUAACUACGUG